UAGGCUCACUAUUAGAGAUGGGAGAGAGUGCAUUGAUAGUUACUCAAGGAAAGUGAUCAGUCCAAGCCAAACAAAAGGGGAAGGUUAAAAUCCAUCCUCAAACUGACAUUAAGAAAGAGUCCA